rnacentral:rRNA from 1 species
CCAGGAUGUUGGCUUAGAAGCAGCCAUCAUUUAAAGAAAGCGUAACAGCUCACUGGUCUAAAUAAGGGUCUUUGCGCCGAAAAUGUAACGGGGCUAAAGCCAUACACCGAAGCUUAGGGUUCGUGAGUAAUCACGAGCGGUAGCGGAGCGUUCUGUAAGCUGAUGAAGCCGUACCCGUGAGGGGCGGUGGAGGUAUCAGAAGUGCGAAUGCUGACAUGAGUAACGUAAGGGGAGUGAGAGACUCCCCCGCCGAAAGACCAAGGGUUCCUGCUUAAAGUUAAUCUGAGCAGGGUUAGCCGGCCCCUAAGACGAGGCGGAAACGCGUAGUCGAUGGGAACCACGUUAAUAUUCGUGGGCCUGGAGGUAGUGACGGAUCACACAAGUUGUCC